GACGAACCGUGCGAACGUUGUUCGGAAUCACUGGGCUUAAAGGGCGCGUAGGCGGGGAGCCAAGUCGGUGGUGAAAUCUUUCGGCUUAACCGGAAAAUUGCCUUCGAUACUGGCUGUCUUGAGGGAGGUAGGGGCAGAUGGAACUUCCGGUGGAGCGGUGAAAUGUGUUGAUAUCGGAAGGAACGCCGGUGGCGAAAGCGAUCUGCUGGACCUCUUUUGACGCUGAGGCGCGAAAGCUAGGGGAGCAAACGGG
rnacentral:rRNA from 1 species